GCCCCAAGCCUGAUCAUCCACGUCUGCGAGUAAGGAAAUGGCAAGUUUCUAUCUGAAUCACCUGGCCGGUCUAGCUUAAGAAAAGAAGACACGAGAGAAGCUAGGCAGACGGACCAGACAUCUUGCACGAAACUUUAAUCCACUGAGUUCAGCCACCACAAGGAACAUAUAUGGCACCACUACCAAUAUAUUCUGCUACCGGUGUGUUGUAAAAUUAGUAAUAUAUGUAGUACCGCAAACUAUAUGUCCUACCAGAGUAUUGUAAAACUAAGUGCCUGGCUAUCCAUAUAUAUUGCUAUCUCAGUUAUUCUACUCCACCUGUCCGGACUUGCCGACAUAAUCUGUUAUCAUGGUACUGUAAUAUUACCUACUUCUAUAAUAUUAGUUGUCCUACUCUGUUUAUUGCAAUA